GGCUGUGGCUCAGAGGAAGAGUGCUCGCCUAGCACGCGUGAGGCACUGGGUUCAAUCCUCAGCACCA
rnacentral:tRNA from 1 species